rnacentral:sRNA from 1 species
GAAAGUGAGUGAACGAUAUCGUGUACAACUGGGACCCUCCACGGACGGCACAAAGCUUGAAGUCAAAUCAUCCGAUCCAAAAAUCGCAAAAGCCACCCAAGAUGCUCUUCAAGAAGUUCCAGCUAUGCUCGCCGAGCACGGACUCCAGGCGGCGCGGAUUCAAAAUUUGAAAAUGUGCACUGUACCCGUUUGGAUAUUCUCCUCAUUUGCUCUUCGAAAUGUCAUUAAUUCGGAUUUCCAUCCAUCUGUAGCUGGACAUCUUUGGAUUCCGGAUAUGUUGGCUCCGGAUCCGUAUUUUAUUCUGCCCGUUGCUGUUGGAGUUUUCGGAUUUUUAAAUUUAUAU